rnacentral:lncRNA from 1 species
UGACUGAGCUCUAAUGGGAUACUCUUAAUACUUCAGUAACUAACUGCUUGUCUUUUGAUUUCUCCUAAACAGGAAGUUCCUUGAGGACCUUGAGGACCUUGAACUUAUCUCUGUUAACAUCUUCUCCCUAACUUCGUAUUCCGCAACACAAGCACGUGGAAGAUAAACUAAGUCUCGUCUUCUGUGUUGGAAAAUUGUGUUCACUUUGCCGCCCGCUGGCUGUCGGGGGGUCCGCGAUGCACUUAGCCCACUGCAGUGAGCCAGAGGCUGGACCAGUGUGCACGAUGGAGAAAACCUUGUGCUGUCCACUCAACGUCAGCUCCAGCUCUGUCAGUUCUACCUCCUUAGAGUCUAAUCAGCUUCUUCCGGAUAGUUCUACCUUUAACGGACAAAUGAGAGGUGAGGAAGCAGAGACCCAAGGAGGUCACAGCUCAAAUCGUACAACCACUUGGGACAGAGGCAGAGCCGCCACCAUGGGCCGCCUCUUCACCUCAAGCUCAGUUCCAGAGCGCGGAAUUCAGACCCGUCUCACUGGACUAAAAUCCCAGUGACAUGAAGAUGCUCGUAAAACAUCUCCCAUCACACAGCUGAAUUUGCCCUCGCUCAGGUAGGC